UGAANUGGGGGAACCCUGAUCCAGCCAUGCCGCGUGAGUGAUGAAGGCCUUCGGGUUGUAAAACUCUUUCGACGGGGACGAUAAUGACGGUACCCGUAGAAGAAGCUCCGGCUAACUUCGUGCCAGCAGCCGCGGUAAUACGAAGGGGGCUAGCGUUGUUCGGAAUUACUGGGCGUAAAGCGCGCGCAGGCGGUCUUUCAAGUCAGUGGUGAAAGCCCGGAGCUCAACUCCGGAAUUGCCAUUGAAACUGUUAGACUUGAGGAUGAGAGAGGUGAGUGGAAUUCCCAGUGUAGAGGUGAAAUUCGUAGAUAUUGGGAAGAACACCGGUGGCGAAGGCGGCUCACUGGCUCAUUUCUGACGCUCAGGCGCGACAGCGUGGGGAUCAAACAGGAUUAGAUACCCUGGUAGUCCACGCCGUAAACGAUGAAUGCUAGCCGUUGGGCAGCUUGCUGUUCAGUGGCGCAGCUAACGCAUUAAGCAUUCCGCCUGGGGAGUACGGCCGCAAGGUUGAAACUCAAAAAAAUUGACGGA
rnacentral:rRNA from 1 species